rnacentral:lncRNA from 1 species
UUGUUUUCAUUUUUACUUGAAGCGGUGCAUCCAAUUUGAGAAGGGAGGCAUAGAUUUUGGCAUUUCCUUGGAAAAUACACACUCACGGUAGUUAUUUUAUUUUUCUUGCUGGAAAGGACUUUGCUUUUGAAUGAUGGAGCGGUGCAUUUGAUGGGAGCUGGAGGUGGCAAACGAAGCACAUUUCCUUUAAUCAUCCUUGGAUGAAAAUUUUGGUGAGCAUUGCUGCUGCUGCCACGUUUAGUUUAGGAGGAAAUUAAUUUUAAUUGGAAAAGCAUUGGUGUCACGGUUGAUACAGAGACAACUGGGAGAAAAGAAUGAGGUCACGACAGAGGUUAUUUUUAGGCCAUUUAGAAUUUUAAUUUUAAUUAGUAGAUGCACUUGGUCACAUAAAUUGCUAGUAGGAAAUUGUGUUUCUUUAUUUCUUAUGGCUUAAAUUAAUUUGCAUUGUAGGAUUAGUUGUGUUUAAUUUCUUUAAUUUAGUUUUGCAUUUAAUUUAAUUUAACUGUGUUUAGAUAUUUGUUUAGUCUAGUAUUUGGUUUAGCAUUUUCACUCUCUGGACUCGAUUUUAAAAAAAAUAACUGCAAUCACACCAGAGGUCCAAAUGCUACGUUUUAUGUGUCAAAUGAAAGAUAUUUGAGUCUAUUUUCCAAGAAAGAAAAACCUCAUCUCAUUUAGAGCUUUGUAGAAAAAGUUAUGGAUAAAACAUUGAGCAAAGGUCAGAGCUGUCCUGUUCCAGCGUGAAUUUUCGUAUUUACUGUAGCAGUUUCAUUUUUACUGUUUUAAUUUCAUUUUCAUGCAUGGUGAAAUGUGUUGUUGCAUUUAAUUUCGUUUUAAUUGAAUUUAAUUACGUUUUUACAUCUGCAUUUUAAUUUAAUUUCAUUUUAAUUUUUCUGCAUUCACCACGCAAACCUUGCACAAACCCCCCCCCUCCACUUCGUGUUAGACUCGAUUCAGAACCGCAAAAUUGGUCCUUGAGAGACGACCUAGGAGUCACUUCCUAGCUAUACUGCAUUUCUUAUUAUGCAAUCAAAUUUGAUUGGGCGGCGACACCCAUCAAAUUUUGGCGCCGUUGCUAGGGACCAACGGUUCGGUUUUAGGUCUUUUGUUGUGUUAGUGUGUGUUGUGUUUUUUCUUGUGUUGUGAGUGUGAUGUUAUCUUUUGUGUGUUCGUCAUUGUGUGUUGCAUUUAGGUAGCUUUAGUUGCAUAUUUUCAUUGCAUUCUUCUUUUUUCCCCCCUUUACAUGUCUACCUAUUUUGGUUCUAUGAGUAAUGCUUAUUCUGCCUGUGUCUAUGACUCUACUUCUGCAUUUGACUCUGAUAUUUCUUGUGGUGUAUACUCAGCUGAUGUCUUUGUUGAGAACAGUACGG